rnacentral:rRNA from 1 species
UACAGAGGUCCCAAGCGUUGUUCGGAUUUACUGGGCGUAAAGGGUGCGUAGGUGGCGAGGUAAGUUCGAUGUGAAAUCUCCGAGCUCAACUCGGAAAUGGCAUUGAAUACUAUCCCGCUGGAGGGUCGGAGGGGAGACUGGAAUUCUCGGUGUAGCAGUGAAAUGCGCAGAUAUCAGGAGGAACACCGGUGGCGAAGGCGGGUCUCUGGGCCGAUACUGACGCUGAGGAGCGAAAGCGUGGGGAGCGAACAGG